UACAGAGGGUGCGAGCGUUGUCCGGAUUCACUGGGCGUAAAGGGUGCGCAGGCGGCCGGGUGUGUCAGAUGUGAAAUCCCGAGGCUCAACCUCGGAACUGCGUCUGAAACUACUCGGCUAGAGUACUGGAGAGGGUAACGGAAUUCACGGUGUAGCAGUGAAAUGCGUAGAUAUCGUGAGGAACACCAGAGGCGAAGGCGGUUACCUGGACAGUUACUGACGCUCAGGCACGAAAGCAUGGGGAGCAAAAGGG
rnacentral:rRNA from 1 species